UACUCUGAUGCUUCGAUCAGUCACCCUUUGACAAACUUCUUCUGAUCUAGUUGAAACAAUCAGCUUGCAUCCCUUAUGUGGGACAGGAAUCCCCACUACGUGUGGCUCAAAAUCGUCCCACAGAUCAUCUAAAAUAAGGAUCCAUUUUUGCUUUUCUGUUAGUUCUUUUAACAAUUUAGCAGCUCUAUGCAAAACAUCAUCUUCACCUGAAAGAUCUAAAUCAAGACGUUUAGCAAUAAGAUUCUGCAAUGUUUUAAUGCUGAAAUCUUCUUGAGGCACAGUCACCCAGUAAAGACGAUGAGAAAUGUCUUGCCUUUGUAGAAGCUCAUUAUGGAUAUGUUUUAGCAUUUCUGUUUUACCAACCAAUCCCAUUCCGUAAAUGCCAAUGAUUGAGACUUCAUCAUCCAUUAUCCAAGACCAUAUCGUUCUUGUAUUCUCUACAAAUGCUCCACCCUUUAGCAUUGUAGAGCUAGUAGGUAAUGGAUCUCCCCUAGUGUCCAUUAGAUGAGCUGCAGCUGCUAUCACAUCCCAUGAGUUAUCAACUAAAUGAUGCACUUGAUCUUCUGUUUGUGUUGCUUCUCCUGUGAAUCUGUAAGGAGAGACAUUUCUUUCAACAUGCUGAGUAGAUCCUUCACCGGUGCAUUCCAAUGCAUUUGCCUCUUCUAGAUGUAAACAAAUUCUCUCUUUCUCCGCACCUUGUUCCAUGCUUUGAACUCCCUCUUGCAUCCCUUCAACAUCUCUUGCCAAAUUGUCAGGUUCUUCAUCGCUUUGCUCCAACACUGGAACCAUUGUUUCUGUCCUCACUCCAACUAUGUUCUGCUCGUUGCCCAUAAUGACAUUAUUGUUUACUGAUGGAGAAAAGAGUUGAUUAUCUGUUUGUUGGGAUGAAUCUCCUUGAGGCUCACCAGCUUUAUUAAUUGAUGGCCUCUCAUGGGAGCCACCUCUCUCCUGAAGCUCCAUUUCUUGUUGCUGUGCGGAAGUUGAAAUUGCAUUAGAGAGAGAGAAAAUAUAAUUUUCUUUAAUUUGUAAUCUUUUUUCUAAAUUUUAUAGAUAUAGUUUUUAUUAAUUUCUUAUGUUGAUUUUUUUUUUGUUUCGAAUAAGAAAAACCCUGGAGCUAAGAUGGACAAAAAUAUAAUCUCUUUAAUUAAAAAGGUAAAUUGGAAAACGUUUUCCUAAAAAACAAAAUACCUUAACCAAUAUUUUGCUAUUUUUUCACACGUUAAAAUACUUGUUUUAAUAGAUACACUGCAAUUUAGGGAGUUUCCUUUACUAUUUUUUAUUUUUUAGAGAUUUUUGAGCCACAAUUGAUAUUAAUUACAUUACUGAUUGGAUUUUAGUAAAUAAAUCAACAUUAAAUAUAAUAUAAUUUAUUUUACAUGUAGACCAAUCGAAAAAAUCUUAAGGGAGGGAAUGAAAACAUUAUAAUAAGAUAAUAUAUAAAAAGCAAGGACAAUUAGGAUCAAAUCAAAUAAUAAAUAGCAAAUCUUAAAUCAUAAUAAUAAGAUAAUAUAUAAAAAAGCAAGGAAAUCAGUUUAAUUAGGAUCAGAUAAAAUAAUUAAUAACAAAUCUUAUAUUAUAAUCACGGGGCCAUAUUUAUGGUUCAACUCCAAUAUUAUUCUUUAUUCUUAACUAUAUAAAAAUCUUACCAAGCAAGAGUCCUAUUUUUCUUGGUUGGACCAUUAGUUAAAGCCCAAACCUCCUAUUCUUUUUGCCAUGUGGAAGAGAUUGUUAUAGUAAUAGCACAGAGAGAAGAACUGUUCAAGAAAAAACAAUAAUGGAGUUGAAGCAAAAUCUCUGUUUGAUAUUUUCCUUUUUGUGGUUUUGGUACAGAGGUCAACAAUAGCUUGGAAGACUUUGGUAUCAGUAACCUGUUCGAUCUCAAUAAUGUUAACGCGUGGACCCCAGUUGUUUGUUAACGUGUGGACCCAGUUAUUGUGGAAACUUUGCAAAGGAUCCGGAGGAGAAAGAAAUAUAUUAGAAUGAUUUUUCUAUAUUAAUAUAUUAAAAUAAUAAAAAGUAUUAAGAAAUAAAAUAAAUAUAUUUUUAAAAAGUAUAUAAAAACAAAAGUUACACAUGGAUGGAUUCUCGAGUAUUUUUCCCGGGCGUGGUUUUAAUAGACGCGAUGGAAGUGAAAGAAUUAUGGUCAGCACUAAUAGUAUUGAUUUUAGCCAUAGGACUACUGGUUGUAGAGAGUAGGGGCAAUACCGUAAAGACUGGAGCAGAGCCUUUUUAUAUUUUUCACUCCUUAACUCUUUUUUUUUUUCAACUGUGACCUCUGAUUGCAAAACUAACUCUCAAUUGCUUUAAAUUUAUUGGCUAGGGACAAAAUUGAAAGACAAGGGAUCAACUUAGAAAAGAUGCUGAAAAUAGAUGAUGUUUUUAAAAUUAAGGUUAAAAAUACACUUUAAUCCCCCAGUUUAUAAAAUUAGACUUUUACGGCCCCUUAUGUUUUUCUAAAUUCAAUUUUGAUACACAACUUCAUUUCUAUUGUUUUUAAUCUUGGUACAUAAAUUUUAAAAAUUAAAAAUUAUAAUAUAAUUAAUAUAGAUGAUUAUAAUUAUAGACCUAGAAAAAUCAAGUAAGAAUUUGAUUGCAUAAAUUUAUAAAAUUAUUUUGAAAUAAUAUAUGUGAUAUUUUUUUUAAGACAAAGUGAUAUUUUAUCAUUAUAAGGGUUAUUAGGUUUUCACUAUAAAUAAGAUGUUAUGUCUAAUCUUUUUAUGAUGAUUAUAUAAAGAUAGAAAACAUAACAAAAAAAUAAGUUAGGCAUAAUAAUUCUUCUUCUCUGAAAAAGUUUAAAAGAUUUCUAAUGAAGUGGUUCAUAUAUAUUAUUAUUAAAGAUCAAAUAAUUAUACAACUUAUUAUUUGAGAUAACUAGCCUUAAAAUGUUAAUUAAAUUCUUUUUAAAAAGAAGAAUUGAUCUUUAAGUAAUCUUUUCUUAUGUCCUAAAUAAUUCUAAAUUAUCUAUUAUAAUUCUUAUAUUUAAAAUAAAAUACUAAACCAUAUAAUUGAAUUCAAUUAUAUUAUUUAGAAUACAUGUGGAAAUGAAUUAAAUUAGCUUUCUUAACUAUUAUACUCUAAGUUUGUAAAUCAUUUUUAUUAUAUAAAUAAUUUCUUUAUGUUAUAAGGACCCUUAUAUUUAUUUAAAAUCAUAUAAAAUAUAACCAUUUUAAAGAAUAUAUAAAUAAACCUAUCUCAUAUUAAUUUUUUAUUUAAUACUUGUUUAAUAAAUUUGAAAAAUAUAUAUCUAUUAAAAAAAUUUCAAUCAAAAUCUUUUCAUUUCAUUGGAAUGUUGAGAAAAAUAUAUUCUAGAAAUUUUACAACACCCAUAAACUACUUUUUCUCGUAAUCAUACUAACUUAGUAUUUACCAUGCUAACUUCAAUGACAAACCCAUUUGCCAUAAACCUUAAACAUCUCACAUAAACCAAAAUUUUUUUUUUUUUUCACCUUAAUACUGCUUUUCUCAUGUAAGGGAAAAAAAAAUCCAAUAAGUAUAUCUAUACAUGAAGGAGACAUGAAGUCAAAAGAAACCUCAAAAGUCCAAGAAAUGAGGGAACUGACCAACACUGGCCUAUCUUAACAAAGUUCUAGCAGUAAAAUCAAUGCCAAAUAACAAGUUAAACCAAUAUAGAGCUAAGGAAGUCAAGGCAAAGAUAACCAAAAAGAAAUUACUGUUGAAAAAAGUGAUGGAAAAGACGGGAAAAAGAAGGUGGGUGAUGUUAUAAACCAAAUUUUUUUCUUUGAGCAGGGGUUUUUUUGGAAUACUAUAAACAAUCAAAAUCAUUUUUUAUUAUUUGAAUUCCAUUUGGAAUUCAAAUCAACAUCAUAAAAGUUCAAAUAUAAGGAGUAAAUAUAAAUUUUGAAAUCUUGGGAUGGGUAAAUAAUUAAUUGAACCAGAUAAAAUUAUGGGUUAAGCUAUGUGAAAAUAAAUGAGAUAGAGGAAAAGUGUUCAAGUUGUAUGUGAAUUGGCUAAUUAGACUUGGGGGUGUUGCAUUCAUAUUUUCUUGAAUAAAGAUGCUUUAAAAAGAGUAGUUAUGAUAAAUUGUAAAUGUUGAUUAAAAUAAAUUGACUAUACAGUUAAUUUUUAAGUUUUGAGGAAAUUCUUUCAAAAUGAAUGUUUGUAUACUGUGAUAUAAACUUUUAAAGUGUGGUGUGAAAUCUAUGUUGUUGAGUUGGGAAAGAUUUAAUUGUAUAAUUAAAAUAAAUUGAAGUAAUAUUAUUGGUUAAGAAUGUGGUUAGCAUGAAUGGAAGUUGAGAAUUAUAUUAAAUUGUAUAAAUCGGUGUGGUAGACAUCUAUGAAAAUUGAGUCAAAAUUUGCGGUGCUAUAUGUUCCCUAAAGGUGAAGAUAUGGUAAAUUGUGUUUGGAAAAGAUUUUAUUAGUAUGAAGGUGAGGUCAUGUGUGAUUUUGAGUUUCAAUGAUGGUUGAAAUGUGUGAAAUUAUUUGUUUGGUUGAAUUAAUUGUUAGAUAAAUGGUUGGAUACAUACAGUUAAAUGGACAUUCAAAAUGAGGAUUGACUUCUCAGGAGCUCAAGGUAAGGAAUUUGCCUCUCACUUGCUUUUUUAUUUAUUUAAAAUGCUUUUGGUAAUUGUUAGAUUUUCAAUGUUUAUUUAUUUGUGUUGUGUAUAAUUGCUUGUCAAUAGAAUUUAUGCCUUGAAGCAGAAUAUAUAUUUGUUAUGCCUUCGGGCGGGAUUAUAUAUAUAUAUAAUUGUUAUGCUUUUGAGACAAAAUUAAAUGUGAAAUUUGAAUCCAUCGCAACAAAGAAAUUAUUCUGUAAAAUUUAAAUUGACCAAAAAGAUAGGGCCAUUGUAUGAAAUUAAAUUGGAUGUCACGGUGGGAAUAUUAAAUAGGAUUGAUGUUUGAGAUUGAAGAUUUCUGUUGAUAAUUAAGAUCAUGGGAGUCAAAAUGAAUUAAUGAAAGUUUAGUUGGUAAAAAAUAACGUAAUAAGAAUUGAAAGAAAUUAAUGUAGUUGGUGAAUCAAAGUUAAAAUAAAAUAUAUUUAAAGGUAUGAAAUGAGAUCAAUGAACAUAUAAAUAGAUUAAAAUAGGAGUUGUAAAUACUGAAUAGGAUGGAUAACAUAAUAAGAUUAUGGUGUUGAAUAGUUUGAUGACACCCAAAUAACAAAGAUGGUUAUAUAAAGGAGAUUAAAACCUAGGAAUAUGGUUAUGGUUGCUUUUCAAAUUACUUUUUGUGCCGAAAUGCAUCAAAAUGAUGUUUUUUUAUUGUUUAAAAAUUAUUUUUGAGAUCAACGCAUCAAAACGAUCUGAAAUACAUAAAAAAAAAUUAAUUUUUAACAAAAAAAAAAUUGAAUUUUUUGAGAACAUGAUUUGCACCGCGUUCCCAAACGAUGUCUAAAUCAAAAUACAAAGGAGGAUGUUUGUUAAACUUUUUCUUUUCUUUAUAAUUUUAUCUAUAAAUAUUGGAUUAACUAGAAAUUCAGUUUUAUAAUUGGUUUCAUUUUAUUUUCUAUAAGGUUAUUGCAAUCUUAAAAAAAUAUCUUGGUAUUUAAUUGAUUUUUCAUUUUACGAUCGUCUAUUUUUGUUAUUAAGUAGUCUAGUAAAAAAUAAAUUAUAAUCCUAAUGGACUCUAUAAUUCUGUUCACAGGUUUAACAUAUUAGCUUAGGUUACUUAAUUUACAGGUUGACGAGUUUAACCAUCAACUGAACAUGCUCCUUUUUUUUAUUUAGUCAAUAUUGGAUUGGUUAUGAAAUAGAUUGUAUGAUUUAUUUCUAUUUGUUUUCUAUAAGUUAUCACAGUCUCAAAUAAAAUAUCUAUUUUAGGGUUGGUGUUUAAUUUUAUGAGCAUUUAUUUUUAUUGUAUAAUUAAAUAAGCUUUUUACAAAUUAGGGUAUUAAAUUCAAUAAAAUCCAUGACCUAGGUCACAUGGAUCCAGUCUAUUAUUAUCUCAAUAUUUUUUUAAAAAAAAAUUAUUAUCUUAAAAUUAUUUUAAAAACUAAGUUAUAUUUUUACCGGUCAUACAAAUUAUUUUUAAAUUUAUAAAAUUAAUCAAUUUAAAUCUGGUCAGUUCUCAUAAAAUUUAAAUUACAUGAAGAGCUAGCACAAGAAGUUUUAAAAUUCAGUCAAUUUAUUAUGUUUAAUAAUACCAUAAAUAAAUCUGCAUAAUAUUAAUAUUUUUAUUUUAUUUUAAAAAAAUUGAUGUGACCGUGGUGGUGGACGGUCCAAUAGUAUAGUCAAUACUAAUAGUUGUCACCGUGUGAACCUCAAUAAUGCUAAUGUGUUGACUAGAAAGAAUUAGAUUUUCUCAAUUUCUAAAAUUAAAUUCUGAACUAUAUAGAAAAUUCUGUUUUACAAAGUUAUAAAUAAUUUAUCUAUUCUGAAUAGCAUGCAAAAUUGUUUAUAUAAUAGCUAAACUGAGUUAAUUAAUUAAAAAUAAAUUAAAUAAAUUAAAAUUUUAAAAUCUAACUAAUAAUAAAAUUAAGAAAUAACUAGAAAAAUAAAAGAAAUUCUAACACCAACCUCUAGAUUUGAGUGUUAACGUGUGGACGUUGUUGGAACUUUGAAAACAGGGAGGUAAUUACAUAACUCAGAAUGGCUGUAACCUGUAGAAAUGCACAAAGUUAUCGAGCGUAAUGAAGCUUAAAUUAUGUAAGCUUCAAUUAUUAUUAUUAUGAAAGUAAAUUUAGUCUAAUUUAACAGUUGAUAUUAUUUGAUUCUAAAACUUGAUUUAUCAAAAGGGUUUCAACUACUUUUUUUGUAUGUGAUUCAUAAUAUAAUUUUUAAUAAAUCUAAUCAAUAAUCUAUAAUAAAAUUAAAAUACAAUCAGUAAAUUUUAUGGAAAAUCAACAAUUAACUCUACUAAUUUAUUUAAUAUCUAUCCAAAUAUAUAAACAUGAUCUCCUUGGGUGUUUUUAUACCAUUUUAAUAAUUUCUUGAAAUUAUUGUAAAGGAAAGAAGAGAGUAGAAAGCACAGGCAAGAGAAGACUUUAUGGUUUUAAGAAAUAAUUUACUGGGAACAGAGAAUGGUGUAAUGAGAUGCGAUGUGGAAGAGAUUGUUACAGUAAUAGCACAGAGAGAAGAACGGUUCAAGAGAAGAUAAUAAUGGAGUUGAAGCAAAAUCUUGUUUGAUAUUUUCCUUUUUUGUAUUUUUGGUGCAGUGGUCAACAAUAGCCUGGAAGACUUUGGUAUCAGUAACCUGUUCGACCUCAAUAAUGUUAACGCGUAGACCCCAGUUGUUUGUUAACGCGUGGACCCCAGUUGUUGUGGAAACUUUGCAAAGAAUCCGGAGAAAGAAAUAUAUUAGAACGAUUUUUUUAUUUUAGCCAUAGGACUAGUGGACCCGUGGUUGUAGAGAGUGGGGGCAAUACCAUAAAGUAUGUUUUUUUGGUAAGUGUUUAAACACUCACUCAAAAAGUAUGUCGACGGGAGCAGCGUCUUUUUAUAUUUUUAACUUUGGUUCCUUAACUCUUUUUUUUUCAAUUGUGUCCUUUGAUUGCAAAAUUAACUCCCAAUUGCUUUAAAUUUAUUGGCUAGGAACAAAAUUGAAAGAAAAGAUAUCAACUUAGAAAAGGUGCUGAAAAUAGGUUAUGUUUUUUUACAAAAAAUGUUAUUGAAUCUAACAGAAUCCAUGACCAGGAUUGCGAGAGGAUUGCAGUUAAUUCAAUCUAUUAUUAUCUUAAUUUUUGUUUUUAAAAAUUAUUAUAUUAAAGUUGUUUAAAAAAUUAAAUUAUGUUUUUAUUGAUCAUUUAAAUUAUUUUUAAAUUUAUAAAAUUAAUUGGGAUGAUUAUAUCUGAUAUGGUUUGAGGUAUUUUUUCCUUUUUGCGUUUGUCUUUGAAAUAUAUAGAGAGAUGGGCAGAGAUAAUUAAUGUGAUUUUGCCCAUUUUGUGUGCUAAAGCAGGCAUUAUGUUUAUUUUAAUCGGCAAAGAAGAGGUUGAAACUGAGGCAGUUUGUUAGCUAAAAAGUAAUUGUUUUUGAAAAACAGUUUUUUUAAAAAAAUAAAUUUCUGAAAAGUGAAUAAUAUUUCGAUGUUUGGUAGUAUUAUAAAAAAUAAGUUGGAAAAUAUUUUCUAGUAUUUGGUUAUGUUAUGAAAAAUAAGCUGGAAAAUAACUUAUUAAUAUUUUUUUCAAGUUUAUUAAAAUAAUAAUAAACAAAUAUUAUAAAUUAAAAAGUUGAAUGAGAAUGAAAUUGAAAAAAAAUUUAAUUUCAUAAAUUAUAUCAAAUAAAAUAAAUAACAAUCAAAAUAAUGAAAAUCAAAUCUAAAGAUAAAAAAAAUUAAAAAAUGAUGAAAUUAAAAUAAUAAUAAUUAUAAUUUCAUAAAUUAUUUCAAAUAAAAUAAGUAACAAUUAAAAAAAUGAGGAUCGAAUUUGAUAAAUAAAAAAUUUCAAUUAAAAAAAAUAAGAGAAAAGUAAAUAACAAUCAUAAAAAUAAGGAUUAAAGUUAAUAUAAAAAUCAAAUUAAAUCAAAUUCUAAAGGGUGAAAUUGAAAGAAAAAAGAUUCAAAAUAAAAUAUAUAGUAAUUAAAAGUUUGAGAAGCAAAUUUGUUAUAAUCAACAAAUAAUAUGAUAUUUAUAAAUUUUUCAUAACUUCUGGAAAUUGUUUUUCGUCUAGAAUAAAAGAAAAACACUUUACUGAAAACCAAACCAAAUUUUUCUUUGACUGAAAAAUAUUUUUCAUUAAUUAAUUUUUUUAAUGACAAAUAAACAAAAGAAAAUUUGAAAAGUAGUUUCCAGAAAAUCACUUUCCACCAAACAAAUGAAGCCUAAAAUAAUAAGUUAAAAACAAAAAGAAAGAAAUUAUAAAAAAGAAAAGAAAAAGCAUAAAUAUUGGUGGAUAAUGACUUCCUAUUAUAAAAAAACUUGAUUAAAUAAUAUUGAAAAAUCACCAACCUUAGUAAUUAACAAGCAUAUUGUUUUACUUGGAAGAAUCAAGCAAUUAAUAACAAAAUGGGAAAACUAAAAAAUAAAAACAGAGAUAAAAUUUAUGUCUGUCUGCAAAAAGAGGUUUUUCAAGAGUGUUGAGUCACGGGUUUGCUUAAGCAAACAGGAAAGAACAGAGAGAUCUGAGAGAGAAGAAUAGUUUAGAAAUGGUUGUGAGAGAAAAUAAGAGAAUAUGAAAGAAAUUAAAAGUUACAGUAUACGUUUUUCUCACAAUUUAAGUACUUUUAGCAAAUAAAUAAAAAGCAUGCGGUUUGAAUAAGACAAUAAAAAAAAAUGGUAAAAAAGAUCAUAAAUAUGGUUCGCUUGCAAAUUAAGGCCUUGUUUGUUUCCAGGAAUUCACUUUCCUGGAAACCAUUUUCCUCACUUUUCCAUGUUUGGCAAUACAUGGAAAGUAAAUCAAAGAAAAUGUAAUUCCAGUCAAAAGAAAAUGUUAAGCUUAAUAUAAGGAAAGUGUUUUCCGUUUUAAAUUCUCGGAAAACACUUUCCUGAGCCAAUGCUGUGUGUUUCUCUGUAACUGUUCAUGGUAAUUGCACUGUUCAUUGAACAGUGCAAUUAACAUGAACAGUGUAUUACAUACACGGUUCACUAAAAAAGAGUGAACAGUGCAGUUUUAGUGCACUGUUCCGUUUUUUUUUUUUAUUAUAUAUAUAUAAGUGUGCUAUUUUUUUAACAUUAAAAAAAAAUAGUUUAGAGUGAAUUUUAUACCUUAAUAUUUUAUCCAAUUUUAUUACAUGCUAAAAAUAUUAUUAAAACUAUAGUUUUUGUCGGAUGUAUUUCGUACGUAAUGAAAUUAUAAAUGGUUUCAUAGAAUAGUAAAAAAUAUUUCACAAGCUUAUUUCUUUAUAAUAUGAUAUGAUUAUAUAGUUAUAUUUUAUAAAAUAAGCUAUGUAUGAAUAUAGAAUAAUAAAAAAAAAAUUCAUCAUUAUAACAUUUUAGAUUUUAUUUUUUUUAUUGUAGGUGAUUAAAUAUUUUAUAUUAAAUAUUAUAUAUAUAUUAGAUAAAUUUGAAAAAAAAAUUAAUUUAUUAAUAAAUUAUUUUCCAAUUCAUUUUUCAUAACACAACCAAACACUGGAAAGUGUUUUCCAUAACACUACCAAACAUCGGAAAAUACUUUCCCGGAAUUCACUUUCCAGGAAUUCACUUUCCCCGGAAUUCAUUUUCCAAAAGUAAUUCACUUUCCUGUAAACAAACGGGGCCUAAAAGGGGUUCUUCAAGUUCUUUAUAGUUACUGCUUUGCUUAGGCUGUCAGAAAAGAAUAUAAAUUGAGAGCACAAAAAAAUUAUAUAUAUAGAUUUUUUUAAUAAAUUUAUGUAGUUUAAAAAAUUUAAAUAUAAAUUAAAAAGUUUAUAUUUAUAUAUAAAUAAAUAGAUAAAAAAAUUAUGUAUACUAAUAGAUAAAUAAAAAGUCAUUAAUAAUAUAUAAAAAUAAAACUUAAAAAAUAAAAAGAUAAAAGUAGAUUAAAAUAUUUAAUUUUGUAAGACGGAAUAUUUAUCUAUUAUGUUUGUUAUUUUUAUUUAUUAUAAUAUUUUUUUUAUUCAAUUAAAUGAUAAUAAAAAUGGACAAACAUAUUAAAUUAAAUGAAUAAAAUAAAAAAUAUUAUACAAGGCUACAUAUUUUAGUAAUAUUAAUUGAAAAUAAAAUUUUUUAUUUUAAAAAAUAUAAUUCAUCUAUGUAAAUGAUUAAAAAAAAUAUAGAUGAAUAAAAAAUAAUUCCUUCAAAAAUUAAAUGUAUAAUUAAAAAAUAACCAUCAGCUAUCAAAACAAAAUAAAAUAAUUUAAAUAUAAAUAAUUGUUUUUGAAAAAAAGUUUUAAAAAAAAAUGAAAAAUUAAACUGUCGGCUCGGCUUGCUACAUGACACAUGUGAACCCAGUUGCUGAAACUUUGAAAACAGGGAGGUAAUUAUAUAAAUGGAUGUCACAUGAUCGAACGUUAACGUGUGGACCCAAAUGUUGUUUGAACUUUGAAAACAGGGAGGUAAUUACAUAAUUCAGAAUGGCUGUACCUGUGGAACUGAAUAAUAUUAACGUGUGGACCCAAUUGGUGUACGUCUACAUUUAAAACAUGACCAAUUUAACUAUAAAUGUAUAGUUUGUUUCUGUGGUGGGGGAGGGAAUCAUGUGUCUCAACAUUGUAAUAAGUCGUAGCAUGAUAAUAACUGUUUUAUUAUUUUAUAAAAUAUAUUUUAUUUUAUUUAACUUUAUAAAAUCCAUGUGUUUAUAGGUUUGGUAGGUUGACAUGAUUUGCUUUCUUUACAAUUUCAUCUAUAGAUAUUGGGUUAAUUAAAAAUUUAAUUUUAUAAUUGGUUUCAUUUUGUUUUCUAUAAGGUUAUUGCAGUCUCAAAAAAAUAAAUUAUAAUCCUAGUGGACUCUAUUCAUGAGUUUGACAUAUUAGUCUAGGAUACAUGAUUCACAGGUUUGACAGGUUUAACUAUCAAAUGAAUAUGUUUUUUUUUUAUUUAGUCAAUAUUGGACUGGUUAGGAAAUAUAUUAUAUGAUUUAUUUCUAUUUGUUUUCUACGAGUUAUCACAAUCUCAAAUAAAAUUUUAUUUUAGGGUUUAUGUUUAAUUUUACAAGCAUCUAUUUUUAUUAUAUAAUUAAAUAAUUUUUUUACAAAAUAUUAAACCCAAUAAAACCUAUAAUUCAAGUUGCGUGGGAACCGAAAUUGAUCCAAUCUAUCAUUAUCUCAAUAUUUUUUUAAAAAAAUUAUCAUUUUAAAGUUAUUUUAAAAACUAAGUUAUGUUUUUAUUAAUAAUUUAAAAUUUUUAAAAUUCAUAAAAUUAAUCAAUUUAAAUCAAGUCAGCUUUCAUAAAAUUUAAUUAAAAUUUUAAAUUAGAUAAAUAGCUAGAACGAUAGGUUUUAAAAUUCACUCAAUUUAUUAUGUAUAAUAGUACCCUAAAAAAAUUUGCAUAAUAUUAAUAUUUUUUAUUUUAUUUUAUUUUAAAAAAGUUGAUGUGACCGUGGUGGUGGACUGUCCAAUAGUCUAGUCAAUACUAAUAGUUGUUACCACGUGAACCUCAAUAAUGUUAAUAAUAUGUUGACUAGAAAGAAUUAGAUUUUCUCAAUUUCUAAAAUUAAAUUCUGAACUAUAUAGAAAAUCCUGUUUUACAAAGGUAUAAAUAAUUUAUCUAUUAUGAAUAACAAUGAAAAUUAUUUAUAUAAUAGCUAAACCGAGUUAAUUAAUUAAAAUUAAAUUAAUUAAAAUUUGAAAAUCUAACCAAUAAUAAAAUUAAAAAGUAACUAGAAAAAAAAAUUCCAACACCAACUAACUAAGAAUAGCUAUAACCUGUGGAAAUGCAUAAAGUUAUCGAGCGUUAUCUAAGCUUAAAUUAUUAUUAUUAUUAUUAUAAAAGUAAAUUUAGAGGCCCCCGCCCCCAUCCAUGACAAUGAGGGGUGGCCCCUAACUCAACCUAUCAGCAGAGGUAAAUAAAUUUUUGUAGUCUUUAAAAUUUAAAUAUAAAUUAAAAAUUUUAUACAUAUAUAUAAUUAAAUAAAUAAAUAACUGUAUAUAUUAAUAAAUAAAUAAGAAAUCAUUAAUAAUAUCUAAAAAAGAAAAUUUGAGUUCAACCAACUUUGAUGACAGCACCGAGUGCUACAUACCCCUUAUGUCUUUCACUAUCAGAAAAUUAGCAUAAAAUAAAAGAAAAGCCGAUAAAAAAACAUUCCAUAGAGACUUUUGAUAAAAAUAACAAUGGAAUAAAAAAAUAAAAAAAUCAAUUAAAAUUUCAUAGAAACUUGACACAUCAGUAUUGUUGAUGGAAUUUCCAUCAAUAAUUUUAAAUGAAUUAAAACCUCACACGUCUCUCUUCCUCCCAUUUCUUCUUCUUCCUUUGCUAAAAAACACAACACAACUUCCCCCUCUUCAAGUCUCUUCUAAGUUAAUUCAUUAAAAAUUGUUUGUAGUGUUAUUAUUUUAUUGUAUAUUUAAGUGUUUUGCAGCUUUUCCACUACACCAUUACAUAGUUUUACCGACGGAUUCAUUCCGUCGGUGUCAGGCACGCAAUUCGUCUGUUAAAUUUUUUUCCGACGGCAUCACCGAUGGAAUCCGUCUGAUUGAAUAUUGAUCAUUGGUAAUUUCCGUUCCGUCGCAAAUUCUAUUGGAAAUAAAAAAAACAAACACGACAGUCUUACAGACGAUGAAGCACGCCAAAAAAAAAAAAAAAUUCCCGCAAGAACUUUACUGACAAAAUCAUUUUGUCUGUAGUUUCAACGGUAAUCACCGACGGAAUAGCCGUCGGUGAUUGUGGCAUGGGCGGUAAAUAUUUCAGAACUCUCUGUCAAAUAUCGACGGAUAUAUUCUAUCGGUACUAGUACUGGUAAACACCGACGGAAUAUAUCUGUUGAUGAUUGUGGCAUGAGUGGUAAUUUUUGCAACUCUCGAUAAAAUAUCGACAGCCUGGUUCCGUCUAGAAAGCCAUCGGUAUUUAUUUAAAAUAUUUUUGAAAAAAUUAUUAAUUAAUAGUAAAAAAACUAAUUAACCAAAUAAAUAACCAAAUAAAAUUGUAUUAAACAUUAAAAAUAUAAAAAUAAUGUUAAAUAAUAUUCACUACAAAUUUAAUGUGUUUCAAAAACAAAAUUAAACUAGAAUAACAGCAGAGCUGGAGGAGGAGGAGGUUGGUUGUUCCAGGGACCGUACAGCUAAAAAGGGGCUGCACAUGUAUCAUCACCCAUCCUUGAUCUAAUCUACAUGACCAUUUGAUGGAGUUGAUCAUAAUCUGUCGAGAGUCGUUCAUAUUGUUGUUUCAAGGCCAUGAACUCCCCAGACUGGGUGUUCGAUACUAAUGGAGAGCUCCCAACGGUUGAGACACUACAGGCCGACCGCAAGUUUUUGGUCGUAGUGUUGGAGAGCCCGUAGACCCGAUUUUUAUCGGGUCCACUAGAAAAUCCUACCUCCAUCCAUAAAUCUAAAUCAAAAUCCGGAUGAGUCGAAGGAUCGUCCCCAUAUCUCUCCCUUAACCGGCUAUUAUAGGUCUCCUGAAUUUUUUUUAAAAAAAUCAUCAUAUUCAAUUUAAGAAAAUAAUAACUUACAAAAUAAAAUGAUUGAACAAACAUCCACGAAGUGUUGAGCACGGUUGUCCAUGAACUACUGCACCCCCUUUUGGCGGUCUUGACUCUGCACGAGCAUCUUUAAAAACAGCUCCAUUGGACUCGACUCACGUCCAAGAGACGUAGCCUGUAAGGAAAAAAAAGGUUGCAAGUUAAAUAUAUUUAUAAGCAACAACAAAUUAAUUAACGAUAUAUUUCAUUUAAAUUAAUCUUACCAUCCGCUUCGCAUGUGCAUUGAACGGGACGGAGCCGCCGGUGUGCAUGGUCACCAAACCAUUAAUUUGCCGGUUUCGGUUGUCGGUACCGGACUGUGAGCAUCGUGAGAACCGCUCAGACGUCACAUGCUCAACAUAUGUUGUCCAUAUAUCCUCCGAGAUGAAUGACAGUUUGAAUUCCCGCCAAACCGCCACCUCAUUCCAUCCUUCAAGAACGUUAUCUCUCGCAUAUCUUUUUGCGUUUUUUUUGUGUCAUAAAAAAAAUCAUGCAACCUACUUCCAUAGUAACAAAUUAGAAUUUAGAACAUAAAAUUAUAUAAAAAAAAAUAAAUAUUAUUUUCGAUGUUACCUAGUUGCCGUGUGAUUCUCUCAUACCCUCCUCACAACAUUGUUGUCCGCGCUAUCCCACUUAACUUUAUGUUGUGUAUAUAAAUAAUUCAUUUAAAAUAAAAAUAGUACAAGAUAUAAAAUUAUAAAAAAUAAGCUGGAAAUUAAAAGUUAACACCUACCAUCACAAAUUGACACAGAUGCCUCACCAUGAUCAGCACCUAAGGAUAAGUCCUCCUCGCUGUUAGAAGAACUAGCUGCAACUGUCUGCUGACGAUGUGCUGUAGAUUUCAUUCUAUGCAUCUACACAAAUUUAUACAAAUAAUUACAUAAUUAACUUUGAUUAUUUAAAAAAAAUUCGGCAACACCUCCCCUAUACUAGAGACUACCCACAGUUUUCAAACCUGCAAAUCUUUACAAUAAUCACAAACCAAUUGACUCCAUUGGAAAAUCUUAUAUACAACCUAACAUCUAUAGAAAUUCAACAUUUAUAUAUUUUCAACUAACAUCUAUAGAAAUGCAUAAAUAACUAUUAAAAUUAAUGGAAAUAAUAAAAAAAACAUAACAAUCAAUAAUAAAAUAAAAUUGAGAUAAAACAAUGAAAUUUAAUUCUUCAUUUCCAAUUACCAUUUCCAUGGAAAAUUCAACAAUAACAAUUAAAAGAGACUAAAUUAUCAAAUAAUUAUUACAAUACAAACAAUAAAAUAAUUAAAUUUUCAUUUAACACAUCUACACAAAUUUAUAUGAAUAAUUAAAUAAUUAAAUUCAAUUAUUUAAAAAAAAUUCACUAACACCUCCCCUAUAUUAGAGACUACCCAUAGUUUUCAUACCUACAAAUAUUGAUAAUUACACAAAUUUUGCAAAAGUAGCUCUAUACAACACAUCAAAAUAAUCUAGAAAUAUAAAAAAAAAAUUUAAAAAAAAGAGAAAAAUAUUUUUUUUUAAUUUUUUUGGAAGAAUGUUUUUGAAACGCAAAUAUAAACAAACUUUAAAUACAAUGGCAAGACUCGUAGUAUUUUAUAAGUUACUGUGAUUGUGUUUGUUUCUAUUUAAAAUAGGCUAUUCAACUUUACUCGACACCAAGAUUGUGGUUAUAACUUUUGUUAAGUCUAACGCUUAACUAGCAAAUGUGUUAACACAUAUAAUAUCAAAAAAAGUUAUAAUUUAAUGUUGAGGGGUGUAAUUUAACUGAUCAAAUUUUAAAUUUAUUCCCUAAAGAUUAUCAGUUCGAGUCUCACAGAUUUCAAAGUCAGAGACUUAUAAUAUCAAGAAAAGUCUAAAGCUUCCUAGUUGCUAGCCUGUCACCAAAGCAGACGGCAGAGGUCACCAAACAUGACAAUGGGAGAAAUAAGGAUGAGUUCUUAUUAAGGAGAAGAAUCAAAGCCAUUUAUUGGAAGUUUACACACCAAUCCAACAAUUUCAUCUGGCACAAUGGGAGGAAGCUUGAGAGUGAAAUUUAUGAUAGAUGCUGGUUGAUUUCAGAAUCAGUGCUGUUGCCUUCAGGUUCAAUGUUGACAAAGUCAGACAUGGAAGGCACCCACCCUCUCUUCAAAACCCCAAACUAAAAACAUCUUAAAAUGCGAAAUCACAAGUCCUCUUAGUAUCAAGCAGAAGCAUCAAUCCUAGUUCGAAGUGGCAUAAAAGAGGCUCAACGUUACAUCUGCAUUUACUGACCACGAAAAUGAAUAAAUCAGAAGCUAAAUGAUUCUUGGCACUGCCUGAAAUGCCAGGCACGGCCCUUGCAAUAUCUGCUUGAAGAUACCCAUUUCAGUUUCUGGUGUUGAUAAUGGAUGGAAAAAAAAAGAAGAUAAAAACCAUUUUGUCUUUAUAAGUCGGUAGCAUUAAAGGAUGAACUCAACUGUUUCAAAUAAGAAAGUAUUCAUCAGAUAUGAUGAUGCAGGUUCCCAAAUUCAAUAGAUUUUGAAUGGUCAACGAAAAAACUUCAAAAAUAAAGAACCAAAUUUCUGAAUAAGGGGAUCUGAUACCUGAAACAGACAAGUAAUUGGAAUUUCAGGCUAUAUAUCCUACAGCUGAAACAACAAUGGCGGUCAAUUCAAAAGCAUUUCAUGAAAUGGCCAGACAUGAGACGAGAAAGAUACUAGUGAUGAUCUGUUGUAGCAGUAAAAUCUCAGUUAUCAGAAAUCAUUCCCAACUUUUACCUACAAAAGAUAACGAUAACAAGGUAUUGAACAAAAACUGAGACAAAUGAAAGAAACACAGUGAAUGAACACAGGGAAUCCAAGAUGAAAAAAAAAAAAUUCCAAAACAAGCGUUAAAGGUACCAUACAUGGUUGUAGAAUAUUACAGAGAGUUCAAAAUCUGUGGCCUUAAGAGGAGCAACCUCCUCAACGUACACUAUGAAACAAUAAGCUGUAAGGCUUAAGAUCUCUAUGAUAGUCAUGAUCAACGAAGCAGCCUCUCUAUCACUAGAAGCAGAACAGAGGGCAUAACAGAAACAACAACAAGACUUAUUCAGAAUAUACUUUCUUCCAAUCCUUAUUAAAUAAGAGGUCUUUCUUCACCAUCGGCCUGCAAAAGAUCACCAAGUAAUUAAAAGCCAUGAACUUUGAAGCCAAUCAAAUUCUCAUUUAAAAUCCCAUCUAUAAAAACACAAAAGAGUCUUUCAAUUCCACAUGAACAUAGUAGACAAAUUAAUUUUUUUCCCUAUAAAUAAUAAAUAUAUAGAGGAAUCAAUCAGUUGGUGGCUGAGGCUAUUUCAUUAAAAUUAAAUUAAAGAUUGAGAUAGAGGAAUUAGCGUAAUGCUUACCCGUACUUCAUUAAAGGCAGUCGCCUCCCACUUCCAUUCUGUCUCCCAGAUUUCAUGAAGAGAAAGGCGAGGAGAUAGACAAAUUGGCAUCCUCUUCAGCUUCUUACAAUUUCUUACGUGAAUUACUUUGAGAGAAUGGCAAAUCAGUUUUGCACUAAAAAUGCUUUUCAAUUCUGGUAAUUCAAACAAUUUCAAUUCUCUCAACUUUGGAAGUUCGAGUUCGGUGGUGCUCCUUUUGCGGCUGCUUUCUUCACAGAUAUGCCCUUCAUUAUCUGAUCUUCCUUCUAUUAUCUCCUCCAUUUUCUCACAAUUAUUAACUUCAAUCACUUCUAGGUUUGGCAGUGAGACAAGAGGCAACAACUUCUUCGUACUUGUGCAUCCAAAACAAUAGAGCUCUUUAAGACCAGAAAAUAUACCAUUAUAAGAUGGAGAUGGCUGUGGUAGUGGAGAAGAGUAGAGACAAAAAGAUGAACCAAAACAAUAGGGCUCUUCUUGAUGGCUUUUUACAUUGCAACCAUCAUUCUCCUCAAUCUGUCCUACAUAAAUUUUGUAAGUUUUGAGUGGUCGGGUCUUAUCCCGAGAAUUGAAAAACCUCUCAAAGUCAGAGUGAUCUUUAAAAUGGCAUUCCAAAUCUUCCAACGCCUCCAAGCAUCCUGCAUCCUCUUCUUUAACUGUCAUCGGAGCAUGUUGUCCCCAUCCAAGUAUAAAGACUUGCAAGUGAGAGAGUUUACUUAAUAUCCCACUAGGAAAUUCCUUUUUACAACGGCUAUUCAUUCUAAGAUACCUCAGUUUGGAUAGACAUUCCAAGCCUUGAGGAAUAAUUUCAAGUGCAGUGCGAUAGAGAUCCAACCUCCUCAUUUCCCUGAGCUUUUCUAAUGAUGGUACAUGUAUCAACUUUUCACAACCAACGAGCAAUAAUGCAGUCAGCCACACCAAAUUAGCGACAGAAUCAGGCAAUUUUUCAAUAACCGUGUGAGACAGAUCGAGUAUCUUGAGCCCAUGCAAUUGCUUGAAAAAUGUAUCUGCAAUCAAUUCCAACUCUCUAUUAUAGUGUAACAACAGAGUUGAUAGCGAGGGGCACCUUGGUGAAUGUCUGGAAGAAAUUUCUUUAAUUUGGUUUCCUAUUAGUGAAACUCUCACAAGAUUCUCCCCCCAUUCUCCUGCCUCCGACAAAUUUUUUAAUUGUACACCUGCUUUAAUUAUGACUGGAAAGUACUCUUUAUAUGUUUUGAUGGCCAUGUUUCUGAUCAAGUCAUGCAUCUUGACAGCACUACCACCAUCAAUACUUUCCAAUAAACAGACAUCUUCAAGUUUAUUAAGCAGUGAAUAGCCUUCAUAAAAUUCAUCCUCCCUACUCUCCUGAUUUUUUACCACUCCCUCAUCAAUCAAAUAAGCUAUCAAAUCAUCUUUAGGGAUCACGAAGGCUUUGGGAAAUAAUGCACAGUACAAGAAAACAGCUCUCUGGCGACGCUUCUUUAGGCGGGUAUAGCUUGAUUCCAACAAUGUGAAUACAUUUUCCAUGUCAGAUUUCCCAGCUCUUGAUUUUUUCAGUUCUCUUAAAGCAAUCUUCCAUUGGCGAUCGAAAAACAUCCCCUUCAUGGAUCCAGCCAUUGCUACAAUUGCUGGCGGCAAACCACCACACUCCUCUACAACACAUUUUGCAAGUCGUUUCUUUUCUGGAGAAAGUUGAAUGUUAGGUCCAAGUUUCUUCAUGAACAACUCCAAAGCUUCUUCAUCUGAAAGAAUAUCUACUUUGAUGUUUUGACUAGUCAUCUUUUUACAAACUCCUUCUGAUUGAGUUGAAACAAUCAGCUUGCAUCCCUUAAGUGAGGCAGGAAUCCCCACUUUGUCUAGCUCAAAACCGCCCCGAAGACCAUCUAAAAUAAGGAUCCAUUUUUUCUUCUCCGUUAGUUCUUUUGACAAUUUGGCAGCUCUAUGCACAACAUCAUCUUCACCUGAAAGAUUCAAAUCAAGACGUUUAGCAAUAAGAUUCUGCAAUGUUUCAAUGCUGAAAUCUUCUUGAGGCACGGUCACCCAGUAAAGAGGAUGAGAAAUGCAUUUGCUUUGUAGAAGCUCAUUAUGGAUAUGUUUUAGCAUUUCUGUUUUACCAACCAACCCCAUUCCAUAAAUGCCGAUGGUUAAGACUUCAUCAUCCUUUAUCCAAUACCAUAUCUUUCUUGUAUUCUCUACAAAUGCUCGACCCAUUAGCAUUGUGGAGCUAGUAGGUAAUGGAACUCCACUAGUCUCCAUUAGAUGAGCUGCCAUCGCUUCCCAUGAGCCGUCAGAGUUAUCAAGUAUACGACGCACUUGAUCUUCUGUUUGUGUUGCUUCUUCUGUAGUCUCUUGUGCACCACCUAGAUCUUCACCUGUGGGCAUGCGAGAAGAAACAUUUCCAGGUAAAGCUGCACGGGCUGCAUCUUUAAUUUCUACAGGAACUUUGUUACAUAUGCGAAUACCACGCCCUUCCACUCCUGACAAAUGGGAUUUGAUUCUCGUAAUGGGUGUACCUUUGCCAAAUUUGAAUUUACAAAACUUACACACCGCUCUACCAGCAUCCAUCUUUACAACACAUUCCCAAAAUUGAUAAUUUGGUCCAGCCAUCUUGAUCAGCGGCUCUGUAGAAAAGAGAAGAAAAGGAUAUAUAUGUCAACACGAUGACCGAAAGGAUAAAAAAAAACGUAAAAAAUAUUGAAUAAAAAUUAAUUAAAUCUGAGAAGUUAUAGGGUUGAAACAAUAUUAAACAAUUAAAAAAAGGAUAUAUAGUGUUACAUUAAUCGGAAAGAAGAGGUUGAAACUAAAAUAAUAAGUUAAAAACAACAAAGAAAUUAACAAAAAAAAGAAAAAGAAAAAAGAAUUCAAGUUUUAGGGUCAAUUUAGCAUGAACUCCACAAGGCAUAGAUUUUAAAAACUGAGAAAAUUUAAUUUAUUUAUAUUUGUAAACUACAGAUGAUAAAAUUUUAUUACUUUUUCCAAAUUGGACUUCAGCAGAUAAAUAAUCAAAUAUGCAUACAGUGUUUUUAAUAUGAUUUCUUUUAUUUUACAUGAGCCAUCAAACAAUAUUUUAAUUACUUUCUCUAAUUGGACUUUAAUAAAUAUGUAACCAAUCAGAAAUUAUCUCAAAUAUAGUUUAAUUGUCUUUUUUUUACAUGUGAACAAAUCGACAAAAUAGAAAUAUAACUAAAUCCAAGCCAGAAUUAUUCUUUUAUAUAUAUAUUACCUGAUUGGGAGGAUUUAUUUUCUUGUGAGGAUUCCUGGCUCAAAGUUUGUAAAGCCAGAGGUAAUUCUGGAGAUUUGGAGAGAAUAUCUACCAAAUUUUGUACCUUCUCACUUUGUAUUGUUGGAGGAGUUGUUGUUUUCUCUCCAGGAACAACUGCACAAGUUAUUGAUUUUGCAGAAGAUAUAGCAGAAGCCAUUAGUUUUGGAGUGUUUUGGGGGUUUGUAAUAGCUGCUGACUGAAGAGCUUUGCCUUUAUCUUUGCACUUCGAAGACAUCAAGACCUAUUUUAAAGAAACUUGCAAGUUAGAAAGUAAGGAAUGAAAUUUAUAUCUCCUUUUAUAAAUUCAAUAUCAAAAUAAAAAAUACUUAGAAUAUAUAUAUAUAUAUAUAUAUAUAUAGAGAGAGAGAGAGAAUAGAAUUUUCUUUAAAUUGUAAUCUUUUUUCUAAAUUUUAUAGAUAUAGUUUUUAUUAAUUUCUUAUGUUGAUUUUUUUUUUUUGUUUCGAAUAAGAAAAACCCUGGAGCUAAGAUGGACAAAAAUAUAAUCUCUUUAAUUAAAAAGGUAAAUUGGAAAACGUUUUCCUAAAAAACAAAAUACCUUAACCAAUAUUUUGCUAUUUUUUCACACGGACAAUUAGGAUCAAAUCAAAUAAUAAAUAGCAAAUCUUAAAUCAUAAUAAUAAGAUAAUAUAUAAAAAAGCAAGGAAAUCAGCUUUUGAAAUGUAAAAACAAACAGACUCUUGCACUCUCAACCAAUCACACCCCCCCUGAUUCCCACCACACUGAAACAGCAGCGCAACCAGUUUGUACCAUAUCUCUGCUCCCACCAAAGCAUCCACCAAGAAUAAAAGGAGAGGAAAAAGAAAACAAUUUGUUUUUUUUUCUUUUUUGACAAGUUUGGUUUUUUUUUUUAAAGUGCUAUCUUUUUCCUUCUAAACACUGGUUUUAUGAGAAUUAAAAGAUAGCAAAAACCUUAAUUUUAUUUGUGACUUAUUGCAGGCGGAGGGAUGGAAAAAUGUGGGGAAGUUUGCUAAGGAUAAAGCAUAGAGAGGUCAGUGCAAAGAGGUCAAUAUGUGAGUCUCUUAGCUCCUAUGUCAUCAAAGAAACCAAUAUGCCUUUAUAUGAACAAGUGGAGUUAUUGAUGGUGUUCUUGACAUCUUUAGAUUGCUUACCAUUGAUCAUGGUUAUUUCCAAUGUGUACUUGAUUUGACAAUCUAAGAUUAAACUAGUUAUCCCAUCUGCAUUCCCCAGCUUGGUUUUAAAGGAAAGAAUUUUGUCCAGCAAGACCCAAUAAUCAAAUUAAAAGAAUUUGCAGCAUUGUUAUUGGUUCGGGGUGGAGGAAGAAAAGUAAUAGUUGGAAAGUUUUAGUAAAUGAAAUUGUGUAAAGGUAUGUAUUGUGCAUAAAUAACCUUACCUUUAUGUAAUGAAUUUGAUGAUGUGAUUUUAGAAACCUGCCAAUAAAAACAUGAUUAUUGGAUAAUAUUCUGGUGAAUUAAUAUUUCAUCAAGAAGCAGACAAGUAUGGAAAGAUUUAUGAUAGUUCGAUGUAACCAUUCAUUUUUUACUUGAAUGAAUAGUCAGGUAAUAGUUACCAAUUACAAAAUGGAUAAUAUGAUGUGCGCAUAUCAUCAUUUGACAUCAAGUUCACCUCAUGUUCAAAAUAACUGCUCUUUUGCCAAUUGGGCAUUGGGAUGAUUAUAUCUGAUAUGGUUUGAGGUUUUUUUUUUUCCUUUUUGCGUUUGUCUUUGAAAUAUAUAGAGAUGGGCAGAGAUAAUUAAUGUGAUUUUGCCCAUUUUGUGUGCUAAAGCAGCCACCAUAUUUAUUUUAAUUGGAAAAGAAGAGGUUGAAACUAAAAUAAUAAGUUAAAAACAAGAAGGAAAGAAAUUUUUUUUAAAAAAAAAACAAGCAUAAAUAUGGGUGGACAAUGACUACUUCCUAUUAUUAGAAAACUUGAUUAAAUAAUAUUGAAAAAUCAACAACCUUUAAUAACAAGCAUGCUGUUUUACUUGGAAGAAUCAAGUAAUUAAAAAACAAAAUGGGAAAAACAAAAAUAGAUAUAUAAUUUACCUGGAUGUGUGUGCCUGCAAAAGAAGGUUCUCCAAGUGUGUACGGUCACGGGUUUGCUUAAGCAAACAGGAAAGAACAGAGAGAUCUGAGAGAGAAGAAUGGUUUAGAAAUGGUGGUGAUCAGGAAAAAUAAAUAAAUAAAUAAAAUGAUAGCAUAAGGAGUAUGGAAAAGAUUGAAAGUUACAGUAUAUGUUUUUCUCACAAUUUAAAUACUUUUAGCAAAUAAACAAGAAGCAUGCUGUUUGAAUCAAGCAAUAAAAAAUAAAAAGCGGUUCUCCAAGUUCCUUAUAGUUACUGCGUUGCUUAAGCAAUCUGUAAUUAAACUGAAAGCUGAGAGAGAAGAAUGGUUUGGAGAAGGUGUCGAGGGAAAGGAAAUGAAUAAAUGGAAGCACAGAGAGAGAAUAGUUGCAGUAGAAAACAGAAACACCAGCAAGACGAAGAAGAUGAAGUAAAAAUACUUUACCUGGAUUCAAGAUGUCCUGCAAGAGCUGCUUUGCUUAAGCAGUAUUCAGAAAGAAGAGAGCAGAAAGCACAGGCAAGAGAAGAGUAUUACAGAGAAUGGUGUAAUGAGAUGCAAUGUGGAAGAGAUUGUUCAAGAGAAAACAAUAAUGGAGUUGAAGCAAAAUCUCUGUUUGAUAUUUUCCUUUUUGUGGUUUUGGUACAGAGGUCAACAAUAGCUUGGAAGACUUUGGUAUCAGUAACCUGUUCGAUCUCAAUAAUGUUAACGCGUGGACCCCAGUUGUUUGUUAACGUGUGGACCCAGUUAUUGUGGAAACUUUGCAAAGGAUCCGGAGGAGAAAGAAAUAUAUUAGAAUGAUUUUUCUAUAUUAAUAUAUUAAAAUAAUAAAAAGUAUUAAGAAAUAAAAUAAUAUAUUUUUAAAAAGUAUAUAAAAACAAAAGUUACACAUGGAUGGAUUCUCGAGUAUUUUUCCCGGGCGUGGUUUUAAUAGACGCGAUGGAAGUGAAAGAAUUAUGGUCAGCACUAAUAGUAUUGAUUUUAGCCAUAGGACUACUGGUUGUAGAGAGUAGGGGCAAUACCGUAAAGACUGGAGCAGAGCCUUUUUAUAUUUUUCACUCCUUAACUCUUUUUUUUUUUCAACUGUGACCUCUGAUUGCAAAAACUAACUCUCAAUUGCUUUAAAUUUAUUGGCUAGGGACAAAAUUGAAAGACAAGGGAUCAACUUAGAAAAGAUGCUGAAAAUAGAUGAUGUUUUUAAAAUUAAGGUUAAAAAUACACUUUAAUCCCCCAGUUUAUAAAAUUAGACUUUUACGGCCCCUUAUGUUUUUCUAAAUUCAAUUUUGAUACACAACUUCAUUUCUAUUGUUUUUAAUCUUGGUACAUAAAUUUUAAAAAUUAAAAAUUAUAAUAUAAUUAAUAUAGAUGAUUAUAAUUAUAGACCUAGAAAAAUCAAGUAAGAAUUUGAUUGUAUAAAUUUAUAAAAUUUUUUGAAAUAAUAUAUGUGAUAUUUUUUUUUAAGACAAAGUAAUUUUUAUCAUUAUAAGGGUUAUUAGGUUUUCACUAUAAAUAAGAUGUUAUGUCUAAUCUUUUUAUGAUGAUUAUAUAAAGAUAGAAAACAUAACAAAAAAAUAAGUUAGGCAUAAUAAUUCUUCUUCUCUGAAAAAAAAAGAUUUCUAAUGAAGUGGUUCAUAUAUAUUAUUAUUAAAGAUCAAAUAAUUAUACAACUUAUUAUUUGAGAUAACUAGCCUUAAAAUGUUAAUUAAAUUCUUUUUAAAAAAGAAUUGAUCUUUAAGUAAUCUUUUCUUAUGUCCUAAAUAAUUCUAAAUUAUCUAUUAUAAUUCUUAUAUUUAAAAUAAAAUACUAAACCAUAUAAUUGAAUUCAAUUAUAUUAUUUAGAAUACAUGUGGAAAUGAAUUAAAUUAGCUUUCUUAACUAUUAUACUCUAAGUUUGUAAAUCAUUUUUAUUAUAUAAAUAAUUUCUUUAUGUUAUAAGGACCCUUAUAUUUAUUUAAAAUCAUAUAAAUAUAACCAUUUUAAAGAAUAUAUAAAUAAACCUAUCUCAUAUUAAUUUUUAUUUAAUACUUGUUUAAUAAUUUGAAAAAUAUAUAUCUAUUAAAAAAAUUUCAAUCAAAAUCUUUUCAUUUCAUUGGAAUGUUGAGAAAAAUAUAUUCUAGAAAUUUUACAACACCCAUAAACUACUUUUUCUCGUAAUCAUACUAACUUAGUAUUUACCAUGCUAACUUCAAUGACAAACCCAUUUGCCAUAAACCUUAAACAUCUCACAUAAACCAAAAUUUUUUUUUUUUUCACCUUAAUACUGCUUUUCUCAUGUAAGGGAAAAAAAAUCCAAUAAGUAUAUCUAUACAUGAAGGAGACAUGAAGUCAAAAGAAACCUCAAAAGUCCAAGAAAUGAGGGAACUGACCAACACUGGCCUAUCUUAACAAAGUUCUAGCAGUAAAAUCAAUGCCAAAUAACAAGUUAAACCAAUAUAGAGCUAAGGAAGUCAAGGCAAAGAUAACCAAAAAGAAAUUACUGUUGAAAAAAGUGAUGGAAAAGACGGGAAAAAGAAGGUGGGUGAUGUUAUAAACCAAAUUUUUUUCUUUGAGCAGGGGUUUUUUUGGAAUACUAUAAACAAUCAAAAUCAUUUUUUAUUAUUUGAAUUCCAUUUGGAAUUCAAAUCAACAUCAUAAAAGUUCAAAUAUAAGGAGUAAAUAUAAAUUUUGAAAUCUUGGGAUGGGUAAAUAAUUAAUUGAACCAGAUAAAAUUAUGGGUUAAGCUAUGUGAAAAUAAAUGAGAUAGAGGAAAAGUGUUCAAGUUGUAUGUGAAUUGGCUAAUUAGACUUGGGGGUGUUGCAUUCAUAUUUUCUUGAAUAAAGAUGCUUUAAAAAGAGUAGUUAUGAUAAAUUGUAAAUGUUGAUUAAAAUAAAUUGACUAUACAGUUAAUUUUUAAGUUUUGAGGAAAUUCUUUCAAAAUGAAUGUUUGUAUAUGUGAUAUAAACUUUUAAAGUGUGGUGUGAAAUCUAUGUUGUUGAGUUGGGAAAGAUUUAAUUGUAUAAUUAAAAUAAAUUGAAGUAAUAUUAUUGGUUAAGAAUGUGGUUAGCAUGAAUGGAAGUUGAGAAUUAUAUUAAAUUGUAUAAAUCGGUGUGGUAGACAUCUAUGAAAAUUGAGUCAAAAUUUGCGGUGCUAUAUGUUCCCUAAAGGUGAAGAUAUGGUAAAUUGUGUUUGGAAAAGAUUUUAUUAGUAUGAAGGUGAGGUCAUGUGUGAUUUUGAGUUUCAAUGAUGGUUGAAAUGUGUGAAAUUAUUUGUUUGGUUGAAUUAAUUGUUAGAUAAAUGGUUGGAUAUAUACAGUUAAAUGGACAUUCAAAAUGAGGAUUGACUUCUCAGGAGCUCAAGGUAAGGAAUUUGCCUCUCACUUGCUUUUUUAUUUAUUUAAAAUGCUUUUGGUAAUUGUUAGAUUUUCAAUGUUUAUUUAUUUGUGUUGUGUAUAAUUGCUUGUCAAUAGAAUUUAUGCCUUGAAGCAGAAUAUAUAUUUGUUAUGCCUUCGGGCGGGAUUAUAUAUAUAUAUAAUUGUUAUGCUUUUGAGACAAAAUUAAAUGUGAAAUUUGAAUCCAUCGCAACAAAGAAAUUAUUCUGUAAAAUUUAAAUUGACCAAAAAGAUAGGGCCAUUGUAUGAAAUUAAAUUGGAUGUCACGGUGGGAAUAUUAGAUAGGAUUGAUGUUUGAGAUUGAAGAUUUCUGUUGAUAACUAAGAUCAUGGGAGUCAAAAUGAAUUAAUAAAAGUUUAGUUGGUAAAAAUUAACGUAAUAGGAAUUGAAAGAAAUUAAUGUAGUUGGUGAAUCAAAGUUAAAAUAAAAUAUAUUUAAAGGUAUGAAAUGAGAUCAAUGAACAUAUAAAUAGAUUAAAAUAGGAGUUGUAAAUACUGAAUAGGAUGGAUAACAUAAUAAGAUUAUGGUGUUGAAUAGUUUGAUGAAACCCAAAUAACAAAGAUGGUUAUAUAAAGGAGAUUAAAAGCUGUUUGGGAGUAUGAUUGUGGUUGCUUUUCAAAUUAUUUUUUGUGCCGAAAUGCAUCAAAAUAAUGUUUUUUUAUUGUUUAAAAAUUAUUUUUGAGAUCAACGCAUCAAAACGAUCCGAAACACAUAAAAAAAUUUAAUUUUUAACAAAAAAAAUUGAAUUUUUUGAGAACAUGAUUUGCACCGUGUUCCCAAUCGAUGUCUAAAUCAAAAUACAAAGGAGGAUGUUUGUUAAACUUUUUCUUUUCUUUAUAAUUUUAUCUAUAAAUAUUGGAUUAACUAGAAAUUCAGUUUUAUAAUUGGUUUCAUUUUAUUUUCUAUAAAGUUAUUGUAGUCUUAAAAAAAUAUCUUGGUAUUUAAUUGAUUUUUCAUUUUACGAUCAUCUAUUUUUGUUAUUAAAUAAUCUAGUAAAAAAUAAAUUAUAAUCCUAAUGGACUCUAUAAUUCUGUUAACAUAUUUUACAUAUUAGCUCAGGUUACAAUGGUUUAGAAAAGGUGCUGAAGGAAAGGAAAUGAAUAAAUGGAAGCACAGAGAGCUUAAAUGGAAGAGAUUUAAUGUUAAGAUAGGCUGUCAGAAAAGAAUAUAAAUUGAGAGCACAAAAAAAAUAAUAUAUAUAUAUAUAUAUAUAGAUUUUUUAAAUAAAUUUAUGUAGUUUAAAAAAUUUAAAUAUAAAUUAAAAAGUUUAUAUUUAUAUAUAAAUAAAUAGAUAAAAAAAAUUAUGUAUACUAAUAGAUAAAUAAAAAGUCAUUAAUAAUAUAUAAAAAUAAAACUUAAAAAAUAAAAAGAUAAAAGUAGAUUAAAAUAUUUAAUCUUGUAAGACGGAAUAUUUAUCUAUUAUGUUUGCUAUUUUUGUUUAUUAUAAUAUUUUUUAUUCAAUUAAAUAAUAAUAAAAAUGGAAAAAUGUAUUAAAUUGAAUGAAUAAAAAAAAAUAUUAUACAAGGCUGCAUAUUUUAAAAAUAUUAAUUGAAAAUAAAAUUUUUUAUUUUAAAAAAUAUAGUUCAUCUAUGUAAAAGAUUAAAAAAUAUAGAUAAAUAAAAAAAAUUUCCUUCAAAAAUUAAAUAUAUAAUUAAAAAAUAAUCAUCAGUUAUCAAAACAAAAUAAAAUAAAAUAAAAUAAUUUAAAUAUAAAUAAUUUUUUUUGAAAAAAAUUAAAAAAAAAUAAAAAUUAAAUACUGCUGGCUCGGCUUGCUACGUGACACAUGUGAACCCAGUUGCAGAAACUUUGAAAACAGGGAGGUAAUUAUAUAAAUGGAUGUCACAUGAUCGAACGUUAACGUGUGGACCCAAAUGUUGUUUGAACUUUGAAAACAGGGAGGUAAUUACAUAAUUCAGAAUGGCUGUACCUGUGGAACUGAAUAAUAUUAACGUGUGGACCCAAUUGGUGUACAUCUACAUUUAAAACAUGACCAAUUUAACUAUAAAUGUAUAGUUUGUUUCUGUGGUGGGGGGAGGGAAUCAUGUGUCUCAGCAUUGUAAUAAGUCGUAGCAUGAUAAUAACUGUUUUAUUAUUUUAUAAAAUAUAUUUUAUUUAAAAUUAUAUUAAAAUAAUAUUUUUUUUAAAUUUAGUUUUGUUAUCAACACAUCAAAAUAAUCUAAAAACAUAAAAAAAUUAAUUUAAAGCAAAUAAAAUAAUAAAAAAAUAAUUUUUUUAAAAAAUACUUUUGAGACGUAAAAAUAAAUAGACUCUUGAUACAGUGGCAUAACUCAUAUUAUUUAUUUUUGUCUUUUUAUAAAAUUAAAGUAGUUUGUAUAUUUACCAGAGUUGCCCAAGUUGUCCCACUUUAUAGGUUUGGUAGGGUAUUUUUUUUUUUUAAUUGAACUUAACUUUAUUAUCAUCUCUUUUUUAUCAUUUGAGUAAAAAAAUAGUUUAUGAAAAAAACUUUAUAAAGUCCAUGUGUUCAUAGGUUUGGUAGGUUGACAUAGUUCGCGGGUUUAGCGAGUUAAAUCUUUUCUUUUCUUUACAAUUUCAUCUAUAAAUAUUGGGUUAAUUAGAAAUUCAAUUUUAUAAUUGGUUUCAUUUUAUUUUUUAUAAGGUUAUUGCAGUCUCAAAAAAUAUCUUGAUAUUGAGUUGAUGUUUCAUUUUACGAUUAUCUAUUUUUGUUAUCAAGUAGUCUAAUAAAAAAUAAAUUAUAAUCCUAGUGGACUCUAUAACUCUAUUCACGAGUUUGACAUAUUAUCCUAGGAUACCCGAUUCACAGGUUUGACAGGUUUAACUAUCAAAGGAAUAUGUUUUUUUUUAUUUAGUCAAUAUUGGACUGGUUAGGAAAUAGAUUGUAUGAUUUAUUUCUAUUUGUUUUCUACGAGUUAUCACAAUCUCAAAUAAAAUUUUAUUUUAGGGUUGAUGCUUAAUUUUACAAGCAUCUAUUUUUAUUAUAUAAUUAAAUAAUUUUUUUACAAAAUAAGUUAUUAAACCCAAUAAAGUCUAUGAUUCAAGUUGCGUGGGAACCGAGAUUGAUCCAAUCUAUCAUUGUCUCAAUAUUUUAAAAAAAUGUUAUCAUUUUAAAGUUAUUUUAAAAGCUAAGUUAUGUUUGUAUUAAUAAUUUAAAUUUUUUAAGAUUCAUAAAAUUAAUCAAUUUAAAUCAAGUCAGCUUUUAUAAAAUUUAAUUAAAAUUUUAAAUUAGAUAAAUAGCUAGAAACAAUAAGCUAUAAGGCAACCUCCUCAACGUACACUAUGAAACAAUAAGCUGUAAGGCUUAAGAUCUCUAUGAUAGUCAUGAUCAACGAAGCAGCCUCUCUAUCACUAGAAGCAGAACAGAGGGCAUAACAGAAACAACAACAAGACUUAUUCAGAAUAUACUUUUUUCCAAUCCUUAUUAAAUAAGAGGUCUUUCUUCACCAUCGGCCUGCAAAAGAUCACCAAGUAAUUAAAAGCCAUGAACUUUGAAGCCAAUCAAAUUCUCAUUUAAAAUCCCAUCUAUAAAAACACAAAAGAGUCUUUCAAUUCCACAUGAACAUAGUAGACAAAUUAAUUUUUUUCCCUAUAAAUAAUAAAUAUAUAGAGGAAUCAAUCAGUUGGUGGCUGAGGCUAUUUCAUUAAAAUUAAAUUAAAGAUUGAGAUAGAGGAAUUAGCGUAAUGCUUACCCGUACUUCAUUAAAGGCAGUCGCCUCCCACUUCCAUUCUGUAUCCCAGAUUUCAUGAAGAGAAAGGCGAGGAGAUAGACAAAUUGGCAUCAUCUUCAGCUUCUUACAAUUUCUUACGUGAAUUACUUCGAGAGAAUGGCAAAUCAGUUUUGCACUAAAAAUGCUUUUCAAUUCUGGUAAUUCAAACAAUUUCAAUUCUCUCAACUUUGGAAGUUCGAGUUCAGUGGUGCUACUGCUGCGGCUGCUUUCUUCACCGAUAAGCCCUUCAUUAUCUGAUCUUCUUUCUAUUAUCUCCUCCAUUUUCUCACAAUUAUUAACUUCAAUCACUUCUAGGUUUGGCAGUGAGACAAGAGGCAACAACUUCUUCGUACUUGUACAUCCAAAACAAUAGAGCUCUUUAAGACCAGAAAAUAUACCAUCAUUCUCCUCAAACUGUCCUACAUAAAUUUUGUAAGUUCUGAGUGAUCGGGUCUUAUCCCGAGAAUUGAAAAACUUCUCCAAGUCAGAGUGAUCUUUAAAAUGACAUUCCAAAUCUUCCAAGUUCUCCAAGCAUUCUGCAUCCUCUCCUUUAACUGUCAUCGGAGCAUGUUGUCCACAUCUAAGUAUAAAGACUUGCAAGUGAGAGAGUUUACGUAAUAUUCCACUAGGAAAUUCCUUUUCACCACGGCUAUUCAUUCUAAGAUACCUCAGUUCGGAUAGACAUUCCAAGCCUUGAGAAAUAAUUUCAAGUGCAGUGUGAUAGAGAUCCAACCUCCUCAUUUUCCUGAGCUUUUGCAAUGAUGGUACAUGUAUUAACUUUUCACAACCAACGAGCAAUAAUGUAAUGAGCCCUACCAAAUUAGAGACAGAAUCAGGUAAUUUUUCAAUAACCGUGUGAGACAGAUCGAGUAUCUUGAGCCCAUGCAAUUGCUCGAAAAAUGUAUCUGCAAUCAAUUCCAACUCUCUAUUAUAGUGUAACAAUAGAGUUGAUAGCGAGGGGCACCUUGGUGAAUGUCUGGAAGGAAUUUCUUUAAUUUGGUUUUCUAUUAGUGAAACUCUCACAAGCUUCUCCCCCCAUUCUUCUGCACCCGACAAACUUUUUAAUUUUACACCUGCUUUAAUUAUGACUGGAAAGUACUCUUUAUAUGUUUUGAUGGCCAUGUUUCUGAUCAAGGCAUGCAUCUUGACAGCACUACCACCAUCAAUACUUUCCAAUAAACAGACAUCUUCAAGUUUAUUAAGCAGUGAAUAGCCUUCAUAAAAUUCAUCCUCCCUACUCUCCUGAUUUUUUACCACUCCCUCAUCAAUCAAAUAAGCUAUCAAAUCAUCUUUAGGGAUCACGAAGGCUUUGGGAAAUAAUGCACAGUACAAGAAAACUGCUAUCUGGCGAUGCUUCAUUAGGCGGGUAUAGCUUGAUUUCAACAAUGUGAAUACACUUUCCAUGUCAGAUUUCCCAUCUCUUGAUUUUUUCAGUUCUUGUAAAGCAUUCCUCCAUUGCUGAUUGAAAGGCAUCCACUUCAUGGAUCCAGCCAUUGCUACAAUUGCUGGCGGCAAACCACCACACUCCUCUACAACACAUUUUGCAAGUCGUUUCUUUUCUGAAGAAAGUUCAAUGUCAGGUCCAAGUUUCUUCAUGAACAACUCCAAAGCUUCUUCAUCUGAAAGAAUAUCUACUUUGAUGUUUUGACUAGUCAUCUUUUUACAAACUUCUUCUGAUUGAGUUGAAACAAUCAGCUUGCAUCGCUUAAGUAAGACAGGAAUCCCCACUUUGUCUAGCUCAAAACCGCCCCGCAGACCAUCUAAAAUAAGGAUCCAUUUUUGCUUCUGCGUUAGUUCUUCCGACAAUUUGGCAGGUCUAUGCACAACAUCAUCUUCACCUGAAAGAUCCAAAUCAAGACGUUUAGCAAUAAGAUUCUGCAAUGUUUCAAUGCUGAAAUCUUCUUGAGGCACGGUCACCCAGUAAAGACGAUGAGAAAUGCUUUUGCUUUGUAGAAGCUCAUUAUUGAUAUGUUUUAGCAUUUCUGUUUUACCAACCAAUCCCAUUCCGUAAAUACCAAUGGUUGAGACUUCAUCAUCCAUUAUCCAAUCCCAUAUCUUUCUUGUAUUCUCUACAAAUGCUCGACCCAUUAGCAUUGUGGAGCUAGUAGGUAAUGGAACUCCCCUAGUCCCCAUGAGAUGAGCUGCAGCUGCCACCACAUCCCACGGUUUAUCAACUAAAUGAUGCACUUGAUCUUCUGUUUGUGUUGCUUCUCCUGUAGUCUCUUGUGCACCACCUAGAUCUUCACCUGUGGGCAUGCGAGAAGGGAAAUUUCCAGGUAAAGCUGCAUGGGCUGCAUUUUUAAUUUCUACAGGAACUUUGUUACAUAUUCGAAUACCAUUCCCUGUGAGUCCUGACAAAUGGAAUUUGAUCCUCGUGAUGG
rnacentral:lncRNA from 1 species